rnacentral:misc_RNA from 1 species
GGGGUUGUAAUGAACAGUUAAUUUGAGUACAUCUAGCUCUCAUACUCAGCACUGGAUUCUUCAAUGGGAGAUGUAGGGGCAUCCAACCUUGUAAGAACUUCAGGCACUCCAGCAGUAUCCCGAAUUAUAAUUAUCUCCUCGUCAAGAUAAGAAAUCAUAAAGAACCUCUGGAAAGAACCAGGUAGGGGAACUUUUAACCCACUGGAAACAGCAUCCCUGAUGGGAACAGGAAGCUGUUGCACGGUGCUAACAGCCUGGUCCAGUGCACCUUUUAGCUGUUCUGGUACGGUUUCUUCAAUGAUUUUUGGUGUCUCAAGAAUUCCUUCAACAUAUUCCUCUCUCAUUCUAAGAGGUCCCUCCACAGACAACCUGGUGGACAGAAUAAAUUUGCUUUCUAUCGAAGACAGUAGUUUCAUACUUGCAGUAAUCUUUGCAUUUGAAUCCUUAAUCAGCACAUCCAUCUUUGAUAAAUUGGCCAAAUUCGAAGGAAAUCUCUCCAAUAU